AGAGUUUGAUCAUGGCUCAGAUUGAACGCUGGCGGCAGGCCUAACACAUGCAAGUCGAACGGUAACAGGAAACAGCUUGCUGUUUCGCUGACGAGUGGCGGACGGGUGAGUAAUGUCUGGGAAACUGCCCGAUGGAGGGGGAUAACUACUGGAAACGGUAGCUAAUACCGCAUAACGUCGCAAGACCAAAGAGGGGGACCUUAGGGCCUCUUGCCAUCGGAUGUGCCCAGAUGGGAUUAGCUAGUAGGUGGGGUAAAGGCUCACCUAGGCGACGAUCCCUAGCUGGUCUGAGAGGAUGACCAGCCACACUGGAACUGAGACACGGUCCAGACUCCUACGGGAGGCAGCAGUGGGGAAUAUUGCACAAUGGGCGCAAGCCUGAUGCAGCCAUGCCGCGUGUAUGAAGAAGGCCUUCGGGUUGUAAAGUACUUUCAGCGGGGAGGAAGGGAGUAAAGUUAAUACCUUUGCUCAUUGACGUUACCCGCAGAAGAAGCACCGGCUAACUCCGUGCCAGCAGCCGCGGUAAUACGGAGGGUGCAAGCGUUAAUCGGAAUUACUGGGCGUAAAGCGCACGCAGGCGGUUUGUUAAGUCAGAUGUGAAAUCCCCGGGCUCAACCUGGGAACUGCAUCUGAUACUGGCAAGCUUGAGUCUCGUAGAGGGGGGUAGAAUUCCAGGUGUAGCGGUGAAAUGCGUAGAGAUCUGGAGGAAUACCGGUGGCGAAGGCGGCCCCCUGGACGAAGACUGACGCUCAGGUGCGAAAGCGUGGGGAGCAAACAGGAUUAGAUACCCUGGUAGUCCACGCCGUAAACGAUGUCGACUUGGAGGUUGUGCCCUUGAGGCGUGGCUUCCGGAGCUAACGCGUUAAGUCGACCGCCUGGGGAGUACGGCCGCAAGGUUAAAACUCAAAUGAAUUGACGGGGGCCCGCACAAGCGGUGGAGCAUGUGGUUUAAUUCGAUGCAACGCGAAGAACCUUACCUGGUCUUGACAUCCACGGAAGUUUUCAGAGAUGAGAAUGUGCCUUCGGGAACCGUGAGACAGGUGCUGCAUGGCUGUCGUCAGCUCGUGUUGUGAAAUGUUGGGUUAAGUCCCGCAACGAGCGCAACCCUUAUCCUUUGUUGCCAGCGGUCCGGCCGGGAACUCAAAGGAGACUGCCAGUGAUAAACUGGAGGAAGGUGGGGAUGACGUCAAGUCAUCAUGGCCCUUACGACCAGGGCUACACACGUGCUACAAUGGCGCAUACAAAGAGAAGCGACCUCGCGAGAGCAAGCGGACCUCAUAAAGUGCGUCGUAGUCCGGAUUGGAGUCUGCAACUCGACUCCAUGAAGUCGGAAUCGCUAGUAAUCGUGGAUCAGAAUGCCACGGUGAAUACGUUCCCGGGCCUUGUACACACCGCCCGUCACACCAUGGGAGUGGGUUGCAAAAGAAGUAGGUAGCUUAACCUUCGGGAGGGCGCUUACCACUUUGUGAUUCAUGACUGGGGUGAAGUCGUAACAAGGUAACCGUAGGGGAACCUGCGGUUGGAUCACCU
rnacentral:rRNA from 5 species